GAGGCCUUAGCUUAAUUAAAGUGUUUGAUUUGCAUUCAAUUGAUGUGUACUAGUGUUACACAGGUCUUA
rnacentral:tRNA from 1 species